UCUUGCCUAAUACUGCCAACGCCCCUUUUACCCCUGAUCCCCCUGCCCUGCACUCUGCCAUAACCGCUGCAAACGGCGUCUAAUACUGGAUACGAGACGUGGCCGCAUGGUCAACGUUUGGAAAGAUUUUUCGGUCUGGGAUGGGCUCGCGGCCUAUCAGCUUGUUGGUGAGGUAAUGGCUCACCAAGGCGUCGACGGGUAUCCGGCCUGAGAGGGUGACCGGCCACACUGGGACUGAGACACGGUCCACACUCCUACGGGAGGCAGCAGUGGGGAAUAUUGCACAAUGGGCGCAAGCCUGAUGCAGCAACGCCGCGUGAGGGAUGACGGCCGUCGGGCUGUAAACCUCUUUUAGCAGGGAAGAAGCGAGAGUGACGGUACCUGCAGAGAAAGCGCCGGGUAAGUACGUGCCAGCAGCCGUGUUAAUACGUAGGUCGCAAUCGUUUUCCUGAAGUAUUGGGCGUUAAGAGUUUGUUAUUCGUUUUUGUUGUUUUGCUUGUGAUUCUCCAGUCUCAUCCUCGGUCCUGCCUUGGGUAGUAGCUGACUAUAGUUGGGUACGUGUUAUUGGAAUUC
rnacentral:rRNA from 1 species